CUCUCUCUCUGUACAUGAAGGGAUCAUGAGAGCUCACAGCAAGAUGGCGGCUGCCUACAAGCCAGGAAAAGAGGCCUUGGGGUGAAACUUACCUUGCAGUACCUUGAUCUUGAACUUCUUACCCUCCAAAACUGUGAGGAAUACAUUUCUGUUGUCUAAGCCACCUGGUCUAUGGUACUUGGUUAUAGCAGCUCCUGCAGACUGAUACACUCCAGGUGGUGGGAUUCUGGGACAGCAUUUCUGCAUGAUCUUCAUACAAGGCAGCAACAAGGACCUGUGGGACGACGUUUGUCUGGGAGUGGAGAUGAGGCCCAAUGAGAGUCGGUGGCGUGUCUGAGGCUUACCGGUCCUUGAAGAGCAGGAGCUCCUUCCCCAGCAUUGUCACAGCGUCAAAGGAUGAGCUGGAGUCACAGAGGCAUCCAGGAAAAACUGAGCGAGUUCUUGUGAAACUGAAGUACACUGAAGGUGUUUGCUAUUUAAAGGUAUCUUCUGGUGGAUCGUCUUGGAAAACAUGGACCCAAAUCUUGCGAGAGCUAUCAGUGAGUCUCCUCUCCUGCUCUGCAUCUCUCAGGACUGUGUCCCAGCUCCAGAAGAAUGAGCCUGCACAGCUUGGACUGUCACCUCUGGCAGGUUCCUGCUCUUUGAUGAAGCCUCGUCAUAAUUACAGCUGUGCCAAAAUAUGUGCUUUGCCUCCUGGCUGAGUGACAGUGGCCAUCCGAAGGCAGUGACUUUCCAGGGCACAAGGACCUCCAAAGGUGUUUGAAAGUUCCUCCAUUGAUCUUCUCUCUCCUGCUGCCUUGUCAAGAAGGUGCCUGCUUCCCCUUUGCCUUGCACCAUGAUUCUAAGUUUCCUGAGGCCUCCCCAGCCAUGUAAAACUAGCCUUAUCUUCAACAGCUGCUAAAAUUGAAGAACAAAAAGAAUCUUUGAAACUUCCCUUCAACUGGUCAUCCUCUUCCCUUUUUCUCUCCUUUAAACACUGUUCCAAUUCAUUAUGAUGGCCCCAAAGCAAAGACAGACAUGGAAGUGAACAUUGGAGUGGAAGGAAUGACGGGGAGCAAAGGUCUGCUUUCUUUCUAUCAUUCUUGUAUCAACUCUAAAUUGAAACCCAAAUCACUGAAAUCUAAAAAAUCACAUGAAAGCAAGUCAAUGACUAAAAGAAAAUGAAAUGAGAGAUCCUAUCAGAGAAAUAUGAAAGGGAAAAUACCACUGAUUAAAUAAGUUAUGGGAAAAAUAAAUCAUUACACCAUUAAAUGUAUACGUCGACAUACUGUAUGUUGUUAUGUGCUUAUUGUCUUUCACCAGUAGAAUGUAAGUCCCAUAAGGGUAAGGACUUUAUAUAUUCUUUUCACAGCAGUGUCUCUAGUGCAUGGAACAGUUCCUAGCACAAAAUAAACAGUUGUUGAAUAAGUGAAUGUAUGAAUGAGUGAUUAAUUAAUGAUUAAAGAUAGAAAGAAGAAAAACAAGAUUGUCCUUAGAGGGAUAAAUUUUAAGUCAACCCAUAUAAUGGAUCAAAUGAAGAUGUGUAGCAUCACCCUAAGAAACCAGAACCUUUAUUAAACCCACAUUAUAUGCCAGACAUGUAGCCAAGUACCUUAUGUACAUUUUUCACACAACUUUGUGACACGCUGUUUUUCAAGUGAAGAAAUGGGCUCAUGGAGGAUAAAUGAUUUGUUAACUUCAUAUAGAUAUUAAGGCGACGGCUCCAGGAUUUUCACACAGCUCUGUUAGACAUUGAAGCCUGUGUUCUUAACAG
rnacentral:lncRNA from 1 species